rnacentral:rRNA from 1 species
GAUUUCUGGCUUGGCGUGCCUGGCCCGCCACGGUUACGUGUGUGAGUGCCGGGUCGCGCCUGCCAUCCUUCUAGAGAACGUUUCUACCCUUCACUGGGCCGGAGACGCCAUCUAGAUCUUUUACUUUGAAAAAAUUAGAGUGUUUAAAGCAGGCGUUUGCUCUGAAUACAUUAGCAUGGAAUAAUAAUCUAGGACUUCGGUUCUAUUUUGUUGGUUUCUAUAACUGAAGUAAUGAUUGAUAGGGAUAGUUGGGGGUGCUAGUAUUGGCCGGUCAGAGGUGAAAUUCUUGGAUUCGGUCAAGACUAACUUAUGCGAAAGCAUU